rnacentral:lncRNA from 1 species
UUUUUUUUUUUUGCAACUGACAAAAGAGCUAAGAGGAAGGAAAAAAGGAGAGAAGUCAGUCCCAUCAUACCCUAGAAGCUUAGGGGAAAGAGAAAAGCAAGAACAUGACCAAAUUUUUGUCAGAGGAAUCAGUGAUCAAAGACAAAGGCAAACGAGAAAACAAUGAAAUAUCAAAAAACCCAAUAAAAAUCCCUCAAGCUUGAUAAUGUUUCAUGUUAGAAGGUUGUCUAUUAUUCAGUUCCAAUCCUUAACUUCAAAAGUGUAGCAAGACAGAAAUGUCUGCAGCUUUGAAUCCCUGCACAACAGCAUAUAAACAAAUCCAUCCUCUUUCAUUUGUUUUCCCUGAACAUUUUCAAAUUGACAAGUGCUAGAAUUCAUCAAGAUCAUUACUCCCCACCUGGAUUUGGCAUCCUUAAAAGGGGGGGGGAGCGUUCCUUUUCUAUCUCAUGAAUAUUCUGCAGAGAUACAAACAAACCUGCAGUAAAAAUAAGCAUCAAGAAAGCUCUUUGAAACGGCACCUCCAGCCUAGAGAGAGCGGCCACUGUACCUCCAGCCUAGAGAGAGCGGCCACUGUAUGUCCUCAGGCGCCUCUGAAGAUGAGGCCUGGAAAUUGGUGGGUUUUGUUUGCUUGCUUUUGUGUUUUAAGAGCUCAUGAGAUGACUCUGAUCAACAGCCAGGUUUGGGAACCACGGGACUUGCCAGUUUCUAUUUUUACUAGUUCUUACAGCCUAGCCCACCAGUUACUGCUUCUAGAUAGUCUAUGCCUAUUUCAUGAUGAGUGUUUACUUCUAAGAUGAUUCUUGAACUUCUGGACUCACCAUUUUACUUUCCAUUAAGCAAUGAGGGGUGUGAAUUCUUCCUGGUUAUUUGUUCAACAAGUAUUUACUUAGCUUCCUCCAAGGACUAACUGACUCUUGGCUUCCUAUUGGGGACUGCCCACUAACUUGAUUUGGAACUCUUUCCCUCAAGGGAGAUUUUUUUAAAGCAUAGAGUAAUUAUGUACGAUUCCAAUUCAGGACAAAGUGGGCAGUAACUUACAUUUUUAGCUCUUAAGUGGGUGCUCAUGGCCAUAUGCAACUCUUGAGUGCAGAGAUUAAACACUAAAUAUAGAACCAGGCUCAUCUAUACAGUGUAAUUGUGGAUUUCUAAGUUUUAGCUGCCAAGCCACAAGAGAUGAGGGAGCUAUUCAGAGGAAUGGAUUAGUUUAGCAAAUAUUCUACACUCUCCCCCAAAUCACAGUUUUCAAUAAAUUAGGUGGCAACUGAGAAAAUGUUACUCUUAUCCCUACAAGUCUAUACAUCUUAUACUUUUUAUAGCCCUUGACCGCUCGCUAUGUGGGUUUUUUUGAGACUCACCUCCCCCCACCCCCCAGGAGGAUGACUGCUGAUCCUCUUAACAUUGUUAUGGUUUUCCAAGCACCCAAGCCCUUGGGUGUGACGCGCUUCUGCACCUGGACUCUCCAUUAGUUCCAAGCAAUAUAAAUAGAAAAGCAGCCAUCAGUGAGGGAUAGGAGGCAAAAUGGCAGAGGGAUACUAUUUUUCGUUGAGGUACAGUUGAUUUACAAUGAUUAGUUUCAGAUGUAAAAUAUAAUGAUUCAAAAUUGUAUAGAGCAUAUUUCAUUUACAGUUAUACUACAUUGGCUGUAUUCCCUGUGCUCGACAAUAUAUACUUACAGCCUAUUUAUUGUAUACACAGUGGUUUGUACCUCACAUCUCUACCCCAUCUGGCUCCUUCCUCUCUUCCCUUUGCCCACAGGUAGUCACCAAUUUGUUCUCUUUGUCUAUGAGUCUGUCGUUACAGUCACUCUGUUUAUUUGUUUAGAUUCCACGUAUCGGUGAUAUCGUACAGUAUUUACCUUUCUCUGACUUAUUUCACAAAGCCUAACACCCUCCAAUCCGUUGUUGCAAAGGGCCACAUGUCACUUUAUUUUUAUUUAUUUUUUACAGCUGAGUCGUCUUGGCAGGGGGACACCAUUAGAGAGUGAAAACAAUGGCUCUGUGAAAAUAAGGAGUCAUAACACCGGGCAGGAUCUCGUCGGGUCUGCAGAGGAAAAGUGUGGCGUGGAACUCCAGACGUAUCUAACGCAGGGCACUUGUUCAGUACAACAUCCGGCUUUUGUUCACGUCCACCAGCGUCCUUUAGAAAUAGACAACCCAAAGCCCAUACAAAGGAAGCUGCUCCAACACUGACUUCUAAUUAGAUCACCACCCUCACUGGAGGAAAAAGGAAAAUGCAUCUGUCUACUGUUUCCUUAAAAUCUGCUCCUGCUUUAUCUGAAGGCUAUAAAACAAACAUCCUAAACGCUGCACUGAACUUGAGUUCAAAAGUUCAACAGUACAGGGAGAAAUGGCAGCACCAUCCCGGAGGAGAGGGUGGGCUGGGGGCUGCAGAUGGGAGAAGGGCCACUGAGUCUCCCUCCUCCCACUCAGACCAUCUGCAAAAGUUUAGGCCUCCCAACCAUGCCGACCUCCAGGCCCAUAGCCGUUACUCAAGCUGCACCUGCCCGGGAUUAAGUUUCCUGCUGGUGAAUGAUCGUUUCUUUCCUUUAGUGGGUCCACAGCUGUCACGUGAUAGAGUGGCAAGCAGGAAGAGGGAGCCCGCCCCUUGCAAAACGGGCUGAGCCGAACACCGACUUGGGUGACUCAUCUUCAAAAACCUGUUCCUGAAAGGCUUUUGCAUGUUUUUAUCACUUCUUGCUUCAGCUCUCAGAUAAUUAAAGCCUGUCAGGGAAAGAGCUCUAACCUGGAAAACAACAGACUAUCUCUAUGAUUCAUUAGAGCUUCAUAAGAAUGAAUAGGGCCCAUUGUCUUUCUCUUUCCCCUUUGACCCUAAAGGCCCUUCAGUCUAUGGUUUCUAACCUUGCUAAAAAGAGAGAUAAACUCUGAAAAGGAGUGCAGCAGCUCCCCAUAAGGAAGGCUCAAUUGCGUGGCAGAAGUCAGUUACACCUGCUUGCCAGGAUUUUGCUAAUCCAAGCAAUUUAUCCACAGCGUGCCUAUGAUAAUCUGGGACUGCCAUUGUACCAGUGAUGGAGUCAACUCUUAGAUUCACUUUCACAGCUUCGAGGGUUAUAGAGCGAAUUUAUAUAAAAUCUGUACAUAAUAUUUGGAAAUUCUACCUAAGAGUACAUUGACAAAGGAGUGCAUGGUUAGUCAUAAGCAAAGUUAACUACAACAAGGAGAAGAUUAUGCUAGCCAAAAUAUAUGAUAAAGAAUCAUGGCUUUCCCUCAAAAGGACAGUUCUAUAUUUCAUUUAAAAAAAGAAAAAAGAAAGAAAGCACAAAGCUGGAUUUAUAUGAAAGGCUUCCCAAAGGUUAAUCGAAACACCAUAUGCCUCCCCCAAUCAGCGUGAACCAGUAGGCAUGCAGGAUUGUCAACCCUUCCAGGGGUCACAAAUCAAUGCGCAGGGGUCAAAGAGAUGCUCGGGCAGUGACUUUCCUUCUAAGAAUUCCACUCCUGCAUAGCAAGAAUGCUAUUGCAUUUUACACACACACAGCCUGGACACACCACAAGUGCAAUCCCCCAGGUGAAACACCACCAAGCCGCCAGAUGAGCAAACAUACAUUAAAGGGAAGAGCAGGGUGGCUUAGAUUGAACUUCAAGGCUAUCAGAGAUAGAGAAAUAAAAUUAGGAUUUAAGAAAAAUUUUAAAGUCCCUUUCAUUACCCAGCCACAUCCCUCCCAUACCCAGAAGUGCCAACUCUGGCUCCAAGUAUCCUAAGACAUUUAAAGGCUGACAAGAAGAAAUUCCCAUCUACUGCCCUAACACUUAAUGUGGGCAGAUGUCAACUGUUGGUGCCCAGGUGUUGAAACGUGCCUGUCUCACUUUGAAGCAGUAAGACAAGACAGGCUGAAUACUUGUGGUUGAUUAUUGCAGCUCUCAAGUGAAGGCCGAAACGACUCUGAACAUGAGAAAUGGAAUACUCUUUCAAAACGCUCUGACUGAAGUGCCUCAUUUUAGAUUGCAAAAUGGAUUUUAUACAUUUCAGCUUUAAAAAAAAAAAAAAAAAGAGGGAAGGAAAAAGAAAGAAAACAGGCGGAUCGGUUUAUUUUCUGAGCACAGUAUUAAUGACUAGAUGACAUCACCAACAGCCAAUCAGAAAUCUCUCUGGAGUCGGGUGUUCUAACACCAUUUCAUAUUUAUGGGUAAGCACCAGAAGGGUGUCAACCCUAAGCUGCAUUUUCCUCCCUACUCACUUCUAAACAAAGUGCCUGCUUUCAUUCAGCAGCCAAACUGGGGCGGGGGGGGGGGGGGGGGGGGGGGGGGGAGGGAACCACCUCUGUCUCUUCUUUCUCCUCCCAGGCUGUUUUCUGACAAUCCCAAAAUAAUAAGUGGAAAGCAAGAGAGAACGCCUGGGACCUUAUGUCACUGCUUCCUGCAAAGCUGAACAGUCUCUGGAGCUUCAGAAAAGUCCUUCACUGACAAACCAAAGCCAAGACUUCAUCUGUUAAACCUUUAAGAGCAGAAAGGAGAGACGGCUUGCAGAAGACAGGGUCAAGGCUCUCUGUACUCAAGAAGUGAAUGCGAUUGGUUUUCCCCCUCCUAUUUUUUUCAAUCAUUCUCUACUCCCACAACUUCCUCCCCUUCUAAAGCAAUGUUGAAGAAGAGAAACAAGUUAACCCUGCCAUGGUUAAUCUUAGGCCAGUGCAGAUAGAACAGCUCAGCUUCACUCUCACCCAGAUGGAUGGAGGCCAGACAUCAUCAGGGGACCCCAGGCUCAGGACGAUGAAGUCAGCACAUCAGUGCUGCUCACAAUGCUCUCACGGUUGUUACUAACUACAGAGCUGGUGGGAGAUGCUGUGGCCAGAACAGAAGCAUGGCUCGAGUUUGUCUUCCAUCUAAAAUCAAUCUGUAUCAACAGAAACUGACAAUGCAAUUCAAAUUCGAGGCAGCACAGAAGAGACGUUUAUGGCAUCCACAAAAAAAAAAAAUCCCUGCCCCAGACAAGUGCAAUGUGCAUCCUGCUCUCACACUUCUCCCAAAAGCUUGCCUGGAGAUGAAUAUAGCCCUUUUCCUUUUCCACAGCCCUAACCAUCUGAUGUUGUAUCAGGAUUGCUGGAUUCAGCCCAAAACCAGAAUUAUAACAUGUAAUAAGAUGCUUGGCCAUGCCGCAAAGAUGACAGAAUUUGGCAUGCUGGCCUGGAGCCAAAGUGACAGAUCUUGAGCUGAUGUUUCUUUCCAACAGAUUUAAUAAUGUACAAAGAGAAAAAAAUUUAAUAACCUACUCUGAGCAAAUUCAGUGUCUACAAGCUUCUUUCGGUUUGCCUCCAACAAGCCCCCUCACCCCCCACCACUCCAUACUUUCCUAGAUGCCAAAAACAUGCAAAUUAAGUGACUGUAGCCUGGCCCUUUUCACGAUUAACUUGGGUCAAAGGUAAACUCAUUAGAUUCAAAGGGACAAGGGGAAGGGGGGUCCUCCCUAAUUAGGGGCUAUGUAAUCAGAAUCAUCUAAUUUCUCCUGCAUGCCCCCCACCUAAGCCUCACCCUCCCUGCCACAUGGGAAAGCUUUUAUAUCUUUUAUACACAACCCACAUACACUCUUCUCCUUGCAGAGACUCCAUACAAAUCACGGGUCACAAUAUAAGGAAAAGACAGUUAUGUCUGAAGCAAAGAAAAAAGGAAUCUGACCAAGGACCUUAGGUCAUCCAGGGCUUAGGAAGACAGGGAAGGAAAAAAUGAUGUUUCAGAUGCCUUAAAGAAAAAAAAAAAAAGAGGAGGAGGAAAAAAGAGUUCCUUUUGUCCCAUAUGCUAAGCAAUGGGUGUUGUCAAAGUUAUAAAAAUUCACCAAGACAAAAAUUAAAAGCAAGACAUGAAAAUCUGAGCACUCUG